ACAUGGGAAGUGGGCCCUAAACCUGCCCAGAUAGAUCUGGAAGGGCAUCAUACUAUAUCCUCACUUUUGGGGCUUGAUAGUUGUGCAGAGCAACAAUACCUCUUUUACUUGCACAGGUAAGUUUCUUCUUUGCAGCCCCAGAUUCUCCCACAGGUGGGCCACCUCAAUGUCUAGGCUUUAAGGGAAUGGGAGGAAGUCUGUUGACAUAGAUCCCAGCCACAUUGUUCAAUGAGCACAGUGUAGCAUCAUGACUACUUAUAAUAAGGUGAUAUUGUGAUUAGCCACAUGACUCCUUGGGAGGAAAGAGUUAAUGCAGCAGGUCUGGUUGCUUUCUUCUUGUGUGUCUCCAAGAGAACUAUGUUUGACCCUUCACCACCCCCCAGAAAUGUGGCCCUCCAAGUGUUCUUUGUGUUAGUGAUUGACGGACUUUGUUAUACAUUCCUGGAGGGAUGGACCAUGCCAUGCUGGCAUGUCAAGUUGCUUUGCAUACACAUCAAUAUUGAUGAUAUGCCCCUGGUUUUAUUGUUGGGAUUCUGAGUUUCUAUUGCCAUGCCUUGUUGUGUAGCAAUGGUUGCACAAGAUAGGUGUAUGUGACAACUACUCCCCUACUUCCACAAAGACCUCAGUCCCUGAGUUCAAAGUGGUAUUCCUAAGUAGGGGCCAUACCAUAUAGCUACCUCAAGUUCAUUGCUAGAGAGAGAGCAUUCCUAUGUGUCUGACAAGGAAAGACCUCAGAAGUCUCUGCUGGACCUUUCUGGACUCCAUCAAUGCACAUCUUUUUUUUUUCUGCUGCUUUUACUCUGUAUUCUUUGCUGUACUAAAUCUUAGCUAUGAAUAUAACUUGUGAUUGGGUCUUGUAAGUCCUUCUGGUGAAUCACCAAACAAAUCACUCCUAUAGUUCAACAACUUAAAAUUCAGAGAAGAGCAGGGUAGGGACUGGGGUAAAAAAUUUAAGGGGUAACUGCCAAAAACUCAGUAAUCAAGAUAAAUAUUAUGUUAAUAAGUAUUAUAUGAAAGUAUUAAAACCCAAUGCAAAAAAUCCAUGAUGAACAAAAUAUCAAAAAUUUAAAUAAAAAUUCUACAUUUGUCAUAUCCUGACUUGCUUGCUGCUCCCUAAUCCUUGCCUGGCAGAAGAGACACACGUGAGCCUUUCAAUUGUCAAAGCAGAGAGCAGCAUCUUUAGCAACGGUGCUAAAGGUUGCUAGAUGUUUCUAAAUAGUUACUACCCUUUGCCCACUUUUGUUCCAUCUCACUUAGUUCUUGCCCCCUGACCCCCAGUCAAUCUCUGCCAGUGCAUCAACUGUUUAUGGAGUUGAUAGGAACCCCUUUUAGGGAUCUGCACCCUUCAGAGUCCUGCACAUGAGAGGUUUCUUUUUUUUCUCAUGCAGAACAUCUCUGUGUGUAACACAGUCCUUGACAGGUUAAAUAUUAUUGGGUAGGCAACUCCUGAAUGCUAAGAUGACUUAGCUUAAAUGGAUGUUGUAGUUAUUGAAAGAGCCUUAGAGUUCUCUCAUAAAUUUAUUUCUAAAUUACUAUUUAUUUAUACAUUUUCAGAGAGAUGGGCAUGCACAGCUAGAUCCUGGGACUCUAAUGAUAGCUACAUCUUCUAGUAUUUACCAAGUCCAGUGCUAGGCACUUUAGAUACAAUAUCACAAAUUUGCCUGACAGUUGUUUAAAGAUAGGUGGUGUCCUCAUUUUGCAGAGAAGGAAACUAAGCCUCAAGGUGGUUAUGGUACAUUGCCACUAAUAAGAGGCAGACCUGGGGCUCAACCUGCAGUUGUCUGACUCUAUAGAUGGCAAAAACUUACUGAAGACGCUCUUUUGGGAGAUGGGUGAAGCCCUGUGUUUUAUGAAGUUGAACAGAGAGGAUUUGGGAACGUGAUUCUCCAGGCACCAACAUCUUCCUCAAAAGUAUUGUUUCACCUUAUUGUCCCUACUUGGUCCUUGAAGACACAGAGUGUGUGACCCUUGCUUCCAUUCUUGUCCUCUUUCUAGCAUACCACGGUAUCACCUCCUUGAGAUUCUUUUAAUUCCUGUACCUACUUUAAGGAGCAUGCUCCCGAAAUGACUUUUAUAAUCUCAGCAAGAGCCCUACAGUUCAUAAACAUAAGGGCACAAGCUUCCUCCCACUUUAUAUGAUAGCUCAGUCUAGCAGAUGGGUUUUCCUGAAUUAUUCAUUUUUGACUAAUUUGUUUAGUAGCAUCUAUGUACUCAUCAUCCCAUCUCUCUUAUGAGUGAACCUAAGUGCUUUGGGAAACUAUUUUAUUAUAUAACCAAAGAAUGAAAGAUGGAGUCAACUUUUGAGCUUUUGAUGGUUGGCUUAUAUUUAAGCAGUUGCCCCAAAUUUGCUAAUUCUUGGUUUCUCUUUCCCUACUCCAUAGACAUACACCAACCAUGAGUUGUGUAUCCAAAUCUCAUCUUGAAUUGUAGCUCCCAUAAUUCCCAUGUGUCAUGGGAGGGACCUGGUAGGGACCCGGUAGGAGGUAAUUGAAUCAUGGGGGCGGGUCUUUCCUGUGCUAUUCUCCUGAUAGUGAAUAAGUCUUAUGAGAGUCUGAUGGUUUUAUAAAGGGGAGUUCCCCUGCACACACCCUCUUGCCUGCCGUCAUGUAAGACAUCCCUUUGCUUCUCCUUUGCCUUCCACCAUGAUUAUGAGGCCUCCCUGGCCAUGUGGAGCUGUGAAUCAGUUAAACCUCUUUCCUGUAUAAAUUACCCAGCCUCAGGUAUGUCUUUAUUAGCAGCAUGAGAACGCAUUAAUACAAUGGGUCUACAACCAAAGUUACUCACUUUGGGGAUCCAUUGAUAGGCUUCAGAGGGUCACUGAAUAUCCUAGUAUUAUCUGCACAUUUUAGUUUGUGUGCCUAUGUUCUUUUGUCCAGAUGGAGAUGGUUCAUAGCCUUUAUUAGAUUUUAAGAGGGUCUAUAAAUCCAAUUUAUGAACAACUUCCAAGAGAAUACAGUUUAAUAUUCUGGUUACAAAAACCAGACAAAGUUUUGGGUCCCCCAUCUGGAAGAAACCACAGGAAUGAUCUUACUCACCACAAUUAAUCUUCCUGAAACAUGGUGUGAUGUCCUAGAUGAAAACACUAAGGAGUACAGCAGGAAAGAACAAGCUCCCCUUAUUUAUUACCUGGAAUUUGCCUAGGGUCUUCUUUGCCCUAGAACUAGGACAUAACUUCAGCCACUGCUUAUAUUGCAUCCCUGCCAGAUGUUCAUUCAAUCUCUGCAUGAAAACUUCAGCAAGCAGGGAAGGCCCAUAAUCUGCCCCGGUCCUAGGUCAUUGUAUAUAGCUUCAUUUGUUUUAGUUUUUUCAAGUUCUAUUUUAUUGAUGUUUUAUAUACUUUGAAAAUAAUUGAAAUGAGCUAGAAUCAAGGGCAAGAAAAAAUAAUGAAACCAUUCAAGGAUGUUGCAGUGUGGGUGGGGGUGGCUGAUAGGGAGUGCCAGGAAACUGCUGGUAAGGGAGAUUACUGUGUUUGAGCAGAGGAGGCAAUCCUGAGAUUCUUGGCGGCCAUGGCAAAAAGAGAAGCCCAAGGGAUUCCCUAAUUUUUCUGAUCCAAUGCAGAGAAGAGAGCCAUGUUUUCAAGGGAGGUGAGUAUUCUCCUAACUCUUGUGUUCUGGGAGAAAUUAUCACAAAGCUUUUUAUACAAUGUACAUUUAAAAGGGUAUAAUGGACAAGUGGCUCUUUGCCAGAUGUUUUACCAGAAAUGUAAGACAUUUCUUGUAAGAAGACUUAAUAGGAACUGGACUCUAGGUUUUAUUUUUUAAAAUAAUAAAAGACACACAGUACUUAACUGCUUCAAUAAGUCAGUUUUCAGUUGUGCUGUCCCAGAUAAAAGAGAGGAGCACAUUUAUGGAGGUGGUCCUCAAAAAAGUGCACUUGAUUUUUUCUUGACCCACCAGGAAAACAGUGGAUGUUCAUGGACACCUUCCUAGUCAGUUCUAUGAAAAAAAAAAAAAAAAAAAAGGAAA